UGGGGAAUUUUGGACAAUGGGGGCAACCCUGAUCCAGCCAUCCCGCGUGUGCGAUGAAGGCCUUCGGGUUGUAAAGCACUUUUGGCAGGAAAGAAAUCGCACGGGAUAAUACCUUGUGUGGAUGACGGUACCUGCAGAAUAAGCACCGGCUAACUACGUGCCAGCAGCCGCGGUAAUACGUAGGGUGCAAGCGUUAAUCGGAAUUACUGGGCGUAAAGCGUGCGCAGGCGGUUCGGAAAGAAAGAUGUGAAAUCCCAGGGCUUAACCUGGGAACUGCAUUUUUAACUACCGGGCUAGAGUGUGUCAGAGGGGGGUGGAAUUCCGCGUGUAGCAGUGAAAUGCGUAGAUAUGCGGAGGAACACCGAUGGCGAAGGCAGCCCCCUGGGAUAACACUGACGCUCAUGCACGAAAGCGUGGGGAGCAAACAGGAUUAGAUACCCUGGUAGUCCACGCCCUAAACGAUGUCCAACUAGCUGUUGGCGGCCUUCGGGCCGCUGGUAGCGCAGCUA
rnacentral:rRNA from 1 species